rnacentral:tRNA from 2 species
UUUCUUUUAGCUUAAGUUAGAGCAUUAGUUUGAAGCACUGAAGGUAGUUUUACUAGGGAAAU